CUGUGGGCCGGCAGGGGGCUGCGGGCCCCAGGGGCUCCGUCUGCGUGGGUUUUUUACAUUUCCUCUCUCCCUUCAUUUUCAACAUGGCCGCUGCAAGGUAGAGCUACAGUUCCCAGAAUACAGUGCCGUCCCCACCAUCAUCCGGCCUCUGGGUGGGAUGCGGGGUGGGGGAGGGGAGUUCUCAGCCUCCUCUGAGAAGAAAGCAGAUGGAGGUGGGCUCCCCGCUUCUCUGGUCAGACCUGAGAUCCUGCUGCUGCCCUUUCUGUCUAAGGUAAUUUGCAUCAUCAUAGCCUUGCAGGAGAUCUGAGGCUGCUCACAGAAGAGCUCAUUGUAAAAGCUUUUGUUCUCCUGUGAGCAACAGAAGCUGAGGGAUUUUCUCCCCCCCAACGCAGGCUGGAACCUUACAAAUAUCCAGAAGCUUUCCCAUUUUCCAGGAGUUGCUGACGGAUUUGAUAAGGGUCCCCCCCCCUCCUUUUUUUUUUUUUUAAACCAUGGUUUAGCUAGUUAAAAAGAAGAAUUUUUUUUUUUUUGGAGACACUUGCCACUUUUGAGGGGUUGGAUUUGAAGCUAAAAAUUAAUUAGCACUUUUUAAGCGGAGGGAAUGUUGCACUAAUUGCUGUGCUAAUCAAUUUAAAACAACAACAAUUCAUCAAGCCAAUGGAAAAUGGUGUCACAUAGGUCUUAAACCAAAAAAUAAUGACAAGCAGCCUGUAUCCUGAACACAGUCUACACUUUAUUUCAGACUACAGAUUUCUGAACAUAAUAAAAUCUUUGGUUGCAGUGGUGGGGUCAGUCUCACAGUCUGUGGAUCAGAUUUUUUUUCCCCUUGGAAAAAAAAGACAGAUUCACAUGGAAAAAUAAAAUAAAAGGUCAAGAGAGUCAGACAUUUACUUCAAAACAAGAGACAGAAGAACCAGAGCAGUGAAAAUGAACAGAAGGAAAAAGAAAAACCAAACACACAAAAGAAAGGAAAAGAAAAGAGAGAGAAGCUGUUCAGCAAAAGAGCUCGCUACACAUAUUUCUUACCUGAAAUUAAAUAUAUACAAGGUCAUAUGCGGUUUGGAUAUAUAGAGAUAAUUUUUGUAAGUGUUCAUAAUAUAUUUUCAUUGGAGUCCUUAUACUAUGGAUAGACAAUAGAUUUGAUUUUAAAUAGCACUUGUCCAGGUCCCCCUCCAUGUGUCCCUUUGCAUUGGUAAGUCCUUUGCGUCAGUGUGUACUUUAUUUUCCUUCCCUGGGAAUAAUAAUAUUACUAAUAGUGGUUGGCCUGGAACUCCGCCUUGAGUCUCUGCAGCUGCUCGGCAGUGAAAGCAGUCCGCAACCACUUGUCCUUUCCCCUUCUUCUUCAACUUCCUGGUGUGGGGACCUGGAGACAGAAGCCUGGGGAGGGAGGAGGGGAAGGGAGGGCAGACAUGGUAAGGGGAAGGGGCACAGAGGAGGGCCAGGUUUGAGAUGCAGCCUUUGCAUGGAUCCAGCCAAGCAGCAGUCCUGCUCCCCUGCCCCAGUGCUGACCGGGCUAUCUGCUCCCUGCAAAGCCGCACUGCCUCCCUGCGAUCAGCACCUUCACAAUACAUUUGCAGGUAUUCGUGUGUAAUGACUGUUUUAGGGCACCAGGAAUAGAUAGCUCCAGAGUCCAACAUGAAUCAAUCUUCCUCUGACCUCUUUAUUACUUUUAUUAAACAAAUAAUUGAAACAAACCUAUCAGUGCUUGUUGUUUCUCAUUUCACUGGGUGUGGUAUCCCAAAGGCCCUAAGCCUACACUGAGCAUUUACCACCUAACAGGAGGUUAAUGGGUCCCCAAAAUUCCCUUCCUGUCUGGGAAGCCAAAACCACCAGUUUUAGAGGAGGGGCAGUUACAGGAAACAAGUCUUUCUGGGAGCAGGUCCUCUGUGGCCCCCCACCCUCCACCUCUAAAACAUCCCUUUUCGGCUGCCCGCAGCUUGAUUGUCUCCCAUAAUGCCAUUGAUUUACUCACCUGCUGCUUUUACAGGAACCCAACAAGUGGGGUUCAUUGAACCCGAUCAUGAGCUUAAAGCGGGGCCACUUUAUGAAUAGCAGGUGACUUCUCCAACCAUUAAUUCCCUCACUGGCUAUUUCUCAAAUGCUCAGCAGCUCAGAUCAUGUCCCGCUUGGAGUGGUGUCUUGACACACUGUUCCAUAGCAUCCAGAACAAGCGUGCAUAAGAUGCACAACAUAAGAUAUACAGAGUUGCUAUGGGGGCAGCCAGAGCCCUGCCCUCCCCCCCCUCCCGCCCCGGCUUGACCCAGCCUGGCCCCAAAAUAUCCCAGGUGAACCCCUCUGUCUGGUGCCAAAAGUUGCAACAGUGGCAGAGCAUGUUUGCUGUCCUAACUUCACCCAGACACUACUGGGUCAGGGAGGGGGUGAACUUCUCUUGGCCAGGUCACCUCAAGACUUAUAAAUUAAGUGCACAACUCUCCAGGGUACCCCUUAUGGAUUUGAGAUGUCUGAUGGUCAGGGCAGAACAGAGUGGACUGGGGUGCGUAAGUCUAGGUCUAAGUCCAAGUGGACAUUCACCAAAAUAAAGAGCCUGGUGUGGGUGCUGGGAGGCCUUGAGGUCAUGCACCAGUUCAUCUACAGCCUGUGUGCCAACUGGCACAUCUACCUUGAUGUUGCAAGGAGAAUGGCAGAGCGGGGGCACAGCAGGACCACACUACAAUGUCAGGUCAAAACAAGACCUCUGCAGGGUGCCUUCCGCAGUGAUGUCACUAGAGCGCAGCAGCAGGGCACCCCAUUGUGAUGUGGCCCACUACAGGUACCUCCAGCUGCUAACAGAGGUACUGGCUUGGCAUGAACACUGAGGGACUGAGGCCUCUGACAUGUCUUUGCCUGUGGACACACUUCACCAACCAUGGCUGCAACUCACGGGGACUCCAGAGAGAAGAAGGUGAAAAAGUUUGGGUCAUGUCACCUGCCAGUUCUCCCAAGGAUAGACCAAGGAGCUCGACAUCCACACCUGUUCCGAUUCCAAUGCUGUCACCAAAGACACACAGGCAACCAAGCAAGACAGGCUGCAGCCAAUGCUUGAACUGACAGGCUGGUGUUUGCCCCCAGGGAAUGCAAGCAGUGGCUGUGCGAGCUGGUCAGGCAGGUUCGUCAUGGGUGUCCAACUUGAAAGGAACCGGGCUGAGUGCAGGAAGCAUUCUGAGACAUGGCAGGACUGGCAAAUACUGACAGGCAUGUUGCUAACGAUUCUAUGCCUGGUGGUCGUCAGCCCCAGUGCUGCACCAGCCCCUGCACCUACACCAGCCAGGAAGCAGCAACAGCAGACAUGGAUCCCAGCUCUGCAAUCUGAUAGUUCUGUCAAGCUCAGCAUGAAAAUUGACUCUAGGGCCAGGUUCUUUUAGGUAGAAUUGAUUUUUUUUUCAUGAAUCAUGCGCUGUUAUAGUAAGUGGGCCGUUAUAGUAAUCGUUCUAGUAAUUGCACCAUUAUUGUAAUUGUGUUUUUUCAUGAUUCAUGCACAGUUACAGUAAUUCAUAGUUAUUCGUAGUACUUAUGAAUUGCUAACUUACAAGAGUUGUUCUUUGGUUUGUUUCCUUUUUUAAAUUUGUUAUUUAUAAAUAAAGGUUUCAAUUUGCUUUGUUGGA